rnacentral:lncRNA from 1 species
CUUUGUCUGAUGCGUGCCACAUCUUACUAAAAAGAAAGUCCGCGUGCUGUCACAUACAAAACUGCAGAGGUACUUACUUCAAAACAAAAUUCAAAUGAAAUUAAUCAGUCGUAAAACCUCGGUAUCCGCAGCCGCUUUCCACAAAAGCUAUGCUGUCAAAACACACCUAUACCGCCGACCAUUAUGACGAAAUUCUAAAAACUCAUUGUGUCGUAAGUACAAACGCCAUUUUGAUUUAAUCAAUCGCGUAUUAUUAAUGGAUCCGCCGGUUUACGAUACGAAAGUUAUUUUUAUUAUUUUUCAUAUCGAUACGUUCGAUUCAGUAAUUGGAGAUGAAACGAUCUCGCAUUCAUCGAGUGGUCACAUUCAAUCCAUGUUUCUUAGCAGCCGGUAAAAGCUAAAAUAUCGAUUACUCAAAAAUUCAAUAUGUCAAUUUGAUAUGACGCCCAUAAAGAGCCGCAAACAACACAUAUGGGAAAUCGGGCAACGGUACCUUUUCGUCAUAAUUAUCUUACUCGAAUCAAAGACGUGUACUUGAUUGAUAAUAUCUUUAAUCGGACACUUGAGUAUCCGAUACAUACUCGAUAUUCGAUGGCCAUUAGUUCUUUCCAAUCUGUCGAUUCAUUCGAUUUAGUUUUUCCAUUGAUUCUAAAUUCAAAUUCAUUGUUUGGCUCGUUAGCGGCUCGGAUGAGUCUCGCUUCUUUUGUCGUUGGUUAAACGAACGUGUGAAAAUAUUAACCCUUAAUUUGGAAAUGUAUCUUUAAAGAUACAACAACUUUAAAAAAAUCUGUGACAUUAAAUAAUUGUAUUUUUUUGAAUCGAUCAAUUUAAUUAUAAAGUUUGACUCAUGACAUCACUAGGAAAAGUAAGUCUAUUGCAUUUUCAACAACUGGACAUACCUAUUUACGUCAACCUGAAAAAAUGACGGACGAGAAGAGCAACAAAGCUGUAUUACAACGAGCAAGAUCAAAGUGCAUUCUAGCGUUGAUUCCUGCAGGAAAUGCACGAUCGGACGACAGUGACACAACAGACAAUGAGGAAGAUAACACAUCUUUGCCAGUUUAUGGAAUACAACAUGAUUCUUAUAGUAGUUCCUCAACACCUUCACUGGAUUUGGAUAAAAUGUAAUGUGAGAUUAUGUGUAACUGAACAACGGAACUGUUUUCACGAUUUUCAUGUAAAAAAAUAAAUUUUCUUACCAA